GACGAACGCUGGCGGCGUGCCUAAUACAUGCAAGUUGAGCGCUGAAGGUUGGUACUUGUACCAACUGGAUGAGCAGCGAACGGGUGAGUAACGCGUGGGGAAUCUGCCUUUGAGCGGGGGACAACAUUUGGAAACGAAUGCUAAUACCGCAUAAAAACUUUAAACACAAGUUUUAAGUUUGAAAGAUGCAAUUGCCUCACUCAAAGAUGAUCCCGCGUUGUAUUAGCUAGUUGGUGAGGUAAAGGCCCACCAAGGCGAUGAUACAUAGCCGACCUGAGAGGGUGAUCGGCCACAUUGGGAAUGAGACACGGCCCAAACUCCUACGGGAGGCAGCAGUAGGGAAUCUUCGGCAAUGGACGAAAGUCUGACCGAGCAACGCCGCGUGAGUGAAGAAGGUUUUCGGAUCGUAAAACUCUGUUGGUAGAGAAGAACGUUGGUGAGAGUGGAAAGCUCAUCAAGUGACGGUAACUACCCAGAAAGGGACGGCUAACUACGUG
rnacentral:rRNA from 1 species